rnacentral:rRNA from 1 species
CAGUCGCCGCGGUAAUACGUAGGUCCCGAGCGUUGUCCGGAUUUAUUGGGCGUAAAGCGAGCGCAGGCGGUUAGAUAAGUCUGAAGUUAAAGGCUGUGGCUUAACCAUAGUACGCUUUGGAAACUGUUUAACUUGAGUGCAAGAGGGGAGAGUGGAAUUCCAUGUGUGGCGGUGAAAUGCGUAGAUAUAUGGAGGAACACCGGUGGCGAAAGCGGCUCUCUGGCUUGUAACUGACGCUGAGGCUCGAAAGCGUGGGGCGCAAACAGGAUUAGAUACCCCCGUAGUCCCUGUCUCUUAUACC